AUCGAUAAUCCACGAUAAAUUUCACUUUAAUUCAAAAUCGAUAUACCGCCAUCUUAAGAAUAAAUCAAAAAAUAUUUCUCUAAAAAAUAAAUAUAAAGUUAGGUCAAGGUGUAAUCAAUAUUAAAGACAAAAUGAAUUACAUUAAGUAUAAUUUAAAGAUUAUAAAUACAUAUAUUUACAUAAAUAAGAAUUUAAAAGUAAUAUUUAAAUAAUAUUUAAAUAUGAUAUAGAUAUUAAAUGUGCACACAUCGCCC
rnacentral:rRNA from 1 species